GACAGAGGUGGCGACCGUUGUUCGGAAUCACUGGGCAUAAAGCGCGUGUAGGCGGCAUGGUAAGUCGGGUGUGAAAUCCCUCGGCCCAACCGAGGAAUUGCGCCCGAAACUACCUUGCUUGAGGACCAGAGGGGAGCCUGGAAUUCCUGGUGGAGCGGUGAAAUUCGUAGAUAUUCGGAAGAACACCAGUGGCGAAGGCGACUCACUGGACACGUAUUGACGCUGAGGUGCGAAAGCGUGGGGAGCAAACAGG
rnacentral:rRNA from 1 species